GUUAAACACAGUGGGAACAUUACUUUUGAUGAGAUUGUCAACAUUGCCCGGCAGAUGAGACACCGGUCUUUGGCUAGAGAACUUUCUGGAACUAUCAAGGAGAUCCUGGGUACUGCACAGUCUGUGGGCUGCAAUAUGGAUGGCCGCCACCCUCAUGACAUCAUAGAUGACAUCAACAGUGGUGCAGUGGAGUGCCCAGCUAGUUAA
rnacentral:lncRNA from 1 species